rnacentral:rRNA from 1 species
GAAAAGAAACCAACAGGGAUUGCCCCAGUAACGGCGAGUGAAGCGGCAACAGCUCAAAUUUGAAAUCUGGCUUCGGCCCGAGUUGUAAUUUGGAGAGGAUGCUUUGGGCGCGGCGCCUUCCGAGUUCCUUGGAACAGGACGCCAGAGAGGGUGAGAGCCCCGUACGGUUGGACUCCAAGCCUAUGUAAAGCUCCUUCGACGAGUCGAGUAGUUUGGGAAUGCUGCUCAAAAUGGGAGGUAAAUUUCUUCUAAAGCUAAAUACCGGCCAGAGACCGAUAGCGCACAAGUAGAGUGAUCGAAAGAUGAAAAGCACUUUGAAAAGAGGGUUAAACAGUACGUGAAAUUGUUGAAAGGGAAGCGCCUAUGACCAGACUUGCGCCCCGCGAACCACCCGGCGUUCUCGCCGGUGCACUUCGCGGGAUGCAGGCCAGCAUCGGUUUUCUUAGGGGGAUAAAGGCCGCGGGAACGUAGCUCUUUCGGGAGUGUUAUAGCCCGUGGUGUCAUGCCCUUGAGGGGACCGAGGACCGCGCUUCGGCAAGGAUGCUGGCGUAAUGG